GGGGGUACUGUUGAUCAAGGAAAGGGUGUUGAAGUAGUAAGCAGGCCCCCUGCGUCUUCUCGUGGUUCCCUCAUGAAAAAGGCUUGUGAUGGUAGUGAUAAGAGGGGUAAUGAAGAAAGGUCAUCUGUGUCUCCUGCUGGGUCUUAUACAAAGAGCACGAGAGAUAACAGUGGUGGAAUGACUGAACCAGGUGUGAGAGCGGCUUCAUGGGAAGCAUUCUCAGAACAAAGAGACAGAGAUUGGAAAGAAUUAGGUCGGGCUCAUGCUUGUUUUGCAAGUAAGGAUCAAGAACAAUUGAACAGAAGGUUGAAUUUUGAUGAGGAAAGGACAAAAGAAAUACAGAGAUUAAUGGGAGGUGUUGAUAUGGAUUUGGAAAAAGACUUAGGAGGAGGUAUAGAGGAGACACAGAGAGAGAGAAGGAGGAGAGCUAGACCGGACUUCAAUGAUAGAAUGGCUGAGGAAGACACCUUUUGGCGCAGAAGGGAAGAGAAUUAUAAUCAUAUGAAUCUGCUGGUGUUGGAGGCGGUAGCAGGCCGUCUGAAUGCUCAGGCUCUUUUCAAACUGUAUGAUGACUUAGCAUUAGAAUCAGACAUGAGUGCUAAGAAGUUAAGGACAGAGGGUAACCAGAUGGGAAGUAAAUUGUGCCAGACAGUCGAAAGGCGGUUACGACAUAUAAAGAGUUUGAGCAAUGAGGUGAAGGGUUGUCUGGCUGAAGAUGAGGAGGAUUUGAGUAAAAGACGUGGGGUGCCACAACUCUCACAGAUGGUGCAAUUCACAGUGGAUUCUGGGGUGUUAAAUGGAAGGAUAGGUAGAGAUCGGGAAGAAGUUGAGAAUGAGGAAGAAGAGGAGGAUGGCUUAGCACAGGCAAAAAGCAUGGCCCCAGUAAGGUCAAAGGACUGGGGGUGGAGGUCUUCACAGAAGCCAUUUAAAAGAAGGGUUACACAGAGAGAGGAACAGGAAGAGAGUGUGACAAGGUGCAGAGAGGGCAGUGACUCUGAGGACUGG
rnacentral:lncRNA from 1 species